rnacentral:rRNA from 1 species
ACGGGAGGCAGCAGUGGGGAAUAUUGGACAAUGGGGGAAACCCUGAUUCAGCGACGCCGCGUGAGUGAAGAAGUAUUUCGGUAUGUAAAGCUCUAUCAGCAAGGAAGAAAAUGACGGUACUUGACUAAGAAGCUCCGGCUAAAUACGUGCCAGCAGCCGCGGUAAUACGUAGGGGGCGAGCGUUGUCCGGAAUGAUUGGGCGUAAAGGGCGCGUAGGCGGCCUGUUAAGUCUGGAGUGAAAGUCCUGUUUUCAAGAUGGGAAUUGCUUUGGAUACUGAUGGGCUUGAGUGCAGGAGAGGUUAUCGGAAUUCCCGGUGUAGCGGUGAAAUGCGUAGAGAUCGGGAGGAACACCAGUGGCGAAGGCGGGUAACUGGACUGCAACUGACGCUGAGGCGCGAAAGUGUGGGGAGCAAACAGGAUUAGAUACCCUGGUA